GCCCAGACUCAUGGGAAUCCCAGAGUUUGGAACCAGCCUCCCACCCCUGUGGAAUUCUGGUCUGGGGUAGGAAAAGGCUAGUGGCGGGGUGAAAGCUACCGUACUCCCUGUUACUGAAUGCAAGUCUAAUAGGAUCUUCCCUUCCAGCUCCUACCCCUAGCUGUUGGUUUCAAAGUGUGGUCCUGGAGUGCUAGUCUUCUGCAGUAAGAGUGUCUGCAUCGCUGUGUUUGUGUCAGUGUGAGGAGGGACCACCCCCUUCCCUUACUCCACCGAGAAAAGGUAGAUCCAGAGCCUAGGUGUGCAUAUACCAUUAGCUAAGUUGGACACAGGGCUUCUCAAUGAGGCAGCGUGCGGGCGUGGGUGUGGCCGUGGGUGUGUGGCAGACCAUUUUGCCAGUUCUCUCCAGGCCCCUGAUUUCUGUUACAGGGCCUGUGAUCUGCACAGCUGGUAGCAGUUGGCAUUUCCUUAGCCAGAGGCAAUAUGCAAGAACACACGUCCAAACACUAAUGUAUGCAGAUACACAUGGGGGCACACAGCCAUACACACUUAUCCGUGUGUGCCCGUGUGUUUCCAAGAGACACAAAGGGACACUGCAGAGAUGUCCCACCAUGAAACAUCGGCCCAAAGGUGUGAAUACAAAGGCUUCCCCAGCAGCGGGGCAGAUAAAUACAGCGAAGCUCUGGACCAGUCUACAAGUGCAUCGUUGGAGGAGGCACAAGUGAAGGACGGCCAGACACACGGUGCAAUCCUCUAAAGAAUGACAUAAUAUGGAUACCACAGCCCAGUGGCAGAGUGCUUUCCUGAAACAUGUAAGCCUUAGUCUCCAUACCCAGAACCCUAAAUAAGUAAACAGUGCAUGCCUACAUGAAUCCACAUGGAAGAUGCUUGUGAUAUGACUGAAAGCAAACAUAAAAACGGGCCUGGGGUGUGGUUCAGGGAUAAAAGUGUUUGCCUAGUAUGCAUAGGCCGUGGGUUCAAUACCCUGUGCAGAAAAAAAGGGGGCCAAGAUGGCUCAUCCCUGGAAUCCCCACACCCUGGUGGCUAAGGCUGGAAGGCCAGCCUGGGCUACAUAGUAACUUCCCAGCCAACGCAGGCUAGACUGAGACCCUGUC